rnacentral:rRNA from 1 species
GAUGAACGCUGGCGGCGUGCCUAAUACAUGCAAGUCGAGCGAACUGACGAGGAGCUUGCUCCUCUGACGUUAGCGGCGGACGGGUGAGUAACACGUGGAUAACCUACCUAUAAGACUGGGAUAACUUCGGGAAACCGGAGCUAAUACCGGAGAAUAUAUUGAACCGCAGGGUUCAAUGGUGAAAGACGGUUUUGCUGUCACGUAUAGAUGGAUCCGCGCCGCAUUAGCUAGUUGGUAAGGUAACGGCUUACCAAGGCAACGAUGCGUAGCCGACCUGAGAGGGUGAUCGGCCACACUGGAACUGAGACACGGUCCAGACUCCUACGGGAGGCAGCAGUAGGGAAUCUUCCGCAAUGGGCGAAAGCCUGACGGAGCAACGCCGCGUGAGUGAUGAAGGUCUUCGGAUCGUAAAACUCUGUUAUUAGGGAAGAACAAAUGUGUAAGUAACUAUGCACGUCUUGACGGUACCUAAUCAGAAAGCCACGGCUAACUACGUG